UUUUUGUCAAACAGAAAUCAAAAUUCUACUGAAAUCAAGGUACCCAGUGCUCUACUUUGGGGACACUACUCCAGAUAUUCCACAUGGAAGAAGAAAGCUGUGAGUUUCCCUAUGCAGACUGGUGUUGCAGCUUUGCCCUUCACCUAUUCUUUCCACUACACAGGGCUACCUGGAAAACCACUUCAGACACAAAUAUUGUGUCUUCUGUCUGGCUCAGCUGCACAGAGCCUCACAAGAGUAACAGGACUGUUGAAUGAAUGACAUUCAGCUUGGCUGCAGAGGGAUGGGACUUCAAACACUUCGAACCUUUCAAAACAUCUGCCUCAACUUGUAAGGAUUCUUCUCUGAUCUCCAUCAGGUACUUUCAGACUACAGUGGAACAUCUCACAUCCCUGAUAGACUUUACUUUGUGGUCUGUUGGCAAAUGUCAAGACAGCUUGGAGGAAUCAAUCCCUGGCAGUGGGGAUAUCUGGGCCUCUUGGCAAAUCACAGUGCUGUGCCUGCAAUGCCAUUAGCAUGGAACUGUUGCAGUGGGAAGGGACCUUUGGAGGUUUAUGGUCCAGCCUCCUUUUCAAAGCUGGAUCAAGACUGAAUUCAUGCCAAGUUUCUAAGGGCUUCAGCUAGUCAGUCUUUGAAAGUCUCUAAGGAUGGAGACUGUACAGCCUCACUGGGAAACCUGUUCCAAGAUUUGAAUAUUUUAACUAUAGAGAGAAGUUCUCUCUUUUCAGAACCUUCCUUUGUUCAACUUCAGCCUGCUGUGCCUUGGCCUUCCACUGUGCACCACACUGGUAGACCAGCUCUGUGGUGUUGCUUGGUAGGGGCAGGCUUCCAUCAGGUCCCCUCAAAGUCAUCUCCAGGCCAAACAAGGCCUGGUCCAUCAGCAUCUUCUCACAGGCAAAGUACUCCAGCUCUGAACAUUUUCCAGUUCAUUAAUGCAUUUCCUCUACUGGGGGUCCAAAACUGGAUGCAGUAUCUAGACGUGGUCCCAAAAGUGUUUAACAGAGAGGUUUAUUCCCUGUCCUCAAUUUCCUGACCAUGUUUCUGUUGACAUCUACUGGUAUGUUGAUACUCCGUUUGAACAGAAGUCUGAAAUACUCCAUAAGACAUCUUACAAUGUCUUAUUUUGUAUUUUUUUUCUAUAUCUGUGUGCUAUCCGGUUCAUUUGUAUGUGUUUGUUGUUGUUGUUGUUGUUGUUGCUAUUGUCCAUUUGUUUUGUUUUUAUUGUAAACCAAAACAGCAUGCUAUUAUUUUGCCAUUAAUCCAAACCACAACUUUAAAUCAAACCAUACUCUUGAAAAAAAACAGUUGAUCUCACCCUCUUCUGAGGUAAAAGACAUCCUGUAGUUCAGUUUAACAUACGCAGCCAUUGUCUGAUCAGAAGGUGAUGCUAUUACAGAUAGCUUAUGGGAAUAACAUAGAAAGAAGAGCUCAUACAACAGUGUGAUAACUUUGUAUGAUAUAUUUCACCCCUAAGCAUCUCGAAGAGCUUUACAAAUUGAUUUAUAUUCUACACACAAGGAUAAUUUAUUUCAUCCAUACAUUUUUAUUAGCUGUGCAGCAACAUCUCAGUUUAGGACAGGAAUUAAAGGCCAUAUCAAAUCCAAAAUGCAAGGUGAACAUACUUAUAAAGAAUCUCUCACAGAGUUCACUUCAAACUGCUUUCUUUCAAUGCUGCACCACCAGUAAGGCAUAAUUCCUGAAAUAUUAGGCUAUUGAAGGAUUUACUGUCCAGAUGUGAAAUUGAGAGAUUUAGUGUGUUCACAAAAAUAGUUGUAGCUAGUAUACUUAUGCAAAGAGUGAAUCGGGAUACUUUUUUGCGGCUUAUAAUUGCAAUCAUUUUAGAAUAUAUGUUUCUGUUUCUGUAGUUUUCCUGGUCAGCUUUCAUUUCCUGUUAAUUUUCACAAUGUUGUGAUGUGAUUGAAAUGACUUACAUGAGAGCAUACAUCAGUUAAAAUUGUAUUUUUCCAGGGGGAUUCAUUUAGAUGACUUUAGAGUAGUUAUCUAUCUUGAUGAAUGAUUCCAAGAAAUAAUCAUUCAAAUAUUUAUCCAGUUUCAACACCAAAUUUAUUCAAAAUCUAAUUCCACCAACCAUUCUUCUUACUCUAUAUUUCUGUUAACACGCUGUUUUUAUUUAUUUUGAAUAAAAUAAAUGUUGAGUGUUUUGGUAUAAAUACAUAAAUAGGGUAUUAUUUUGUUUGUUGUUGUUGUUUUUGAUUCAUAAUUCAGCGUCCUCUCAGAUUUACACCCAUAUAAGAAAUGUAAGAACUCUCCAGCUUUUCUCACAAAUACAUGUGUGGUGAUUUUUGUGUGUGUGUAUAUGUUGUUUGUUUGUUUGUUUGUUUUCUAAAAUAGAUGCCAGACAUAUGUCAUAUUUCAAGGAAUUUGCAUUGUUUAAAUCCAAAACAAGUGACUUUUUCCUAAUAUCCAGCAGAUAGGCUCUACUAUAUAGAAGACACUGUGUCCCCAAUCUUUUGAAUAAAAAUACAGCCAGGAAGCUUUAUUUUGGAGACAUAAACAUACAGACUAUAUCCGUCAUUAGACUGUCAUUAUUUUAAUGUAAAUUUUUUUCUGAUACUCAAAAGUCAAACAGUAGUAGGAAGCGGAGAGAACCUGCUAUCUGAGGACUGAUAGCAGGACAGAAUAGGGGAAAGGAUGCUCUGUUAGAUUUUUGUCUUUACAUUAGUUGAAUUCUCUUGUAGGAAUAUACAGGAAACUACAGAAAAGAAGUCUAUAGUGAAUUUCUGUUGACAAGUCUAUAGAGAAAAGAAUUUUAAAGGC